rnacentral:rRNA from 1 species
AACGAACGCUGGCGGCAUGCCUAAUACAUGCAAGUCGAACGAGAUCUUCGGAUCUAGUGGCGCACGGGUGCGUAACGCGUGGGAAUCUACCCUUGGGUUCUGAAUAACUUCUGGAAACGGAAGCUAAUACCGGAUGAUGACGUAAGUCCAAAGAUUUAUCGCCCAGGGAUGAGCCCGCGUAGGAUUAGCUAGUUGGUGGGGUAAAGGCCUACCAAGGCGACGAUCCUUAGCUGGUCUGAGAGGAUGAUCAGCCACACUGGGACUGAGACACGGCCCAGACUCCUACGGGAGGCAGCAGUAGGGAAUAUUGGACAAUGGGGGCAACCCUGAUCCAGCAAUGCCGCGUGAGUGAUGAAGGCCUUAGGGUUGUAAAGCUCUUUUACCCGAGAUGAUAAUGACAGUAUCGGGAGAAUAAGCCCCGGCUAACUCCGUGCCAGCCGCCGCCGUAAGAC